rnacentral:rRNA from 1 species
UACGAAGGGGGCUAGCGUUGUUCGGAUUUACUGGGCGGAAAGCGCACGUAGGCGGAUCGUUAAGUCAGGGGUGAAAUGCCAAGGCUCAACCUUGGAACUGCCUUUGAUACUGGGGAUCUUGAGUCCGGGAGAGGUGAGUGGAACUGCGAGUGUAGAGGUGAAAUUCGUAGAUAUUCGCAAGAACACCAGUGGCGAAGGCGGCUCACUGGCCCGGAACUGACGCUGAGACGCGAAAGCGUGGGGAGCAAACAGG